ensembl:ncRNA lncRNA:CR45098 long non-coding RNA:CR45098
AUUUGAUUUUUAAAAUUGCUCUUCUUUGCUGCAGAAUAAAAUACUUUCCAAAUACGACGAUAAUUUCCCAGUUGCCUUAAAUCCCGGCCACGUAAAUUCCUCUGAGCUCCAUCAAUGCUUAAACCCAAAAAUAUUUUCACAAACAUAGAAAAAAUGCCUGCCAUGGCUUUGUCUAUGCCACAAAACUCGAAAAAAUAGAGCGCGGAGCAUAUGAAAAAAAUUGGCGCUGACACUGACAAGUCGUGUGAAGCACACCUGCAAGAGUCAAGCGCCAAGCGGCAAGCGACGGAUUUCAAGAUUUCGAGAGACCGCAAUCCGAAAACCAUAUCGGUGAAGGCGGGGAACGCAGGUGGGGGAAUUGCGGCUUGAGGCAUGGCAUUGCAUUCGGGACACCGAAACAUGUUGCAAAAUGCAGCUCAGCUGUGCGUCGUGGCCUUAAAACUGGUGCAACACACAUUGGCCUCCUCCUCCGCCGACUCGAACAAAAAAAAUCCCCCGACAUGUGUACCUCCUGCCCUGAAACCUGGCAGAGCGCCAAACUAGCCGACUUGAAGUAGCAAAAGGGGUCUUCGCCAUCCGCUGGGUAUCCAAUAGAAAAAUGAAACUAAGUAACAGUUGGUCUAUGGAAUUGUAAAAUACCCUUUAAAUGCUUUUAAAUGAUU